rnacentral:rRNA from 1 species
GACGUAGGGCGCGAGCGUUGUCCGGAUUUAUUGGGCGUAAAGAGCUCGUAGGCGGUUUGUUGCGUCGGCUGUGAAAUCCCGAGGCUCAACCUCGGGUCUGCAGUCGAUACGAGCAAACUAGAGUGUUGCAGGGGAGACUGGAAUUCCUGGUGUAGCGGUGGAAUGCGCAGAUAUCAGGAGGAACACCGGUGGCGAAGGCGGGUCUCUGGGCAGUAACUGACGCUGAGGAGCGAAAGCGUGGGGAGCGAACAGG